GAUGAUGAGAAUGAUUUUAAGAAUUAUGAUCAGGAUUAUCAAAAGUUGAUGUGAUUCCUCAUCAUGAUAAAAUAAUAAUAAUAUUUAACUUGAGAUACUAAUUUCUGAACUUUGGAGAAUAAGCUUUAAGUUACCAUGACAAAUUGUAUUACUUAAUGAAAAUAUUUUGUGUUCAGUGAUUUGAUUAAACAUCAUGAUCAAGUAAAUAUUUGGCGAGAGAUGCGCUACUGCUUUACAUCUUGUAAGUUGUAACUUACACUACAGUUACAAUCCAACUUGGAGAAAACUAAAAGGUAUUGACAACAGACUCAUGAGACUAUUCAGAGGACAAUAGUGCCAAAUAAUAUGGAACUGAGAAAAACAACAACAUAUUCUUCCAAAAAAUUUGAAGAAAGUCCUUGAAAUGGCAAUCUUGUAAAAUUGGUGCUGAUAUUGUUCACAAAGAACCGUCAAGAAAAGGGAUGAAAAAGAGAGAGGGCUUAGCAGUUAGUCAUCAGGCUAAUUCCUGAAAAAGAUGUGUUUAGGAAGAUGAAGUUUUGAUGCUUAUCUACAGCUAAAUCCAGAAGUGUUUAUAAAGAAUUGAAUAUUGUUGUUUAUCUACAGCUAAAUCCUGAUGAAGUGUUUAUGAAGAACGAAAUAUUGUUGUUUGUCUACAGCCAAAUCCUAAAGAAGUGUUUAGGAAGAUGAAAUAUUGUUCUUUAUCUACAGUUAAAUCCUGAUGAAGUGUUUAUGUAGAUGAAAUAUUUUUUGUUUUUCUACAGCUAAAUCCGGACGAAGUGCUUAUGAAGAACGAAAUAUUGUCGUAUAUCGACAGUUAAAUCCUGAUGAAGUGUUUACAAAGUAUGAAAUAUUGUUGUUUAUCUACAGUUAAAUCCUGAAGAAUUGUUUAUGAAGCACGAAAUAUUGUU